AGUGAACGCUGGCGGUAGGCCUAACACAUGCAAGUCGAACGGCAGCACAGUAAGAGCUUGCUCUUACGGGUGGCGAGUGGCGGACGGGUGAGGAAUACAUCGGAAUCUACUUUUUCGUGGGGGAUAACGUAGGGAAACUUACGCUAAUACCGCAUACGACCUACGGGUGAAAGCAGGGGAUCUUCGGACCUUGCGCGAUUGAAUGAGCCGAUGUCGGAUUAGCUAGUUGGCGGGGUAAAGGCCCACCAAGGCGACGAUCCGUAGCUGGUCUGAGAGGAUGAGCCGCCACAGUGAACGUGAGACACGGCCGAAACCCCUAGGGGGGGCAGGGGGGGGAAAUUUGGGAAAAGGGGCGAAAGCCUAACCCACCCAAACCGGGUGGGUAAAAAGGGCCUUGGGGUUGAAAACCCCUUUUGUGGGAAAAAAAAAGGAGAGGGUUAAAACCCCGCUUUUCUGACGGACCCCAAAAAAAAAGCACCGGCAACUUUGGG
rnacentral:rRNA from 1 species